rnacentral:rRNA from 1 species
UACAGAGGGUGCAAGCGUUGUUCGGAAUUACUGGGCGUAAAGGGCUCGUAGGCGGCCAACUAAGUCAGACGUGAAAUCCCUCGGCUUAACCGGGGAACUGCGUCUGAUACUGGAUGGCUUGAGGUUGGGAGAGGGAUGCGGAAUUCCAGGUGUAGCGGUGAAAUGCGUAGAUAUCUGGAGGAACACCGGUGGCGAAGGCGGCAUCCUGGACCAAUUCUGACGCUGAGGAGCGAAAGCCAGGGGAGCAAACGGG